UACAGAGGGUGCAAGCGUUGUUCGGAAUUACUGGGCGUAAGGGGCUCGUAGGUGGCCAACUAAGUCAGACGUGAAAUCCCUCGGCUUAACCUGGGAAUGGCAUUUGGGACUGCAAGGCUUGAGUGCGGCAGAGGAGACUGGAAUUCCUGGUGUAGCAGUGAAAUGCGUAGAUAUCAGGAGGAAUACCGAUGGCGAAGGCAGGUCUCUGGGCUGACACUGACGCUCAUGCACGAAAGCGUGGGGAGCAAACAGG
rnacentral:rRNA from 1 species